ACUACAUGAAGCUGGAAUCGCUAGUAAUCGCGGAUCAGAAUGCCGCGGUGAAUACGUUCCCGGGUCUUGUACACACCGCCCGUCACACCAUGGGAGUCGGAAAUGCCCGAAGUCGGUGACCGAACCGAAAGGAAGGAGCCGCCGAAGGCAGGUCUGGUGACUGGGGUGAAGUCGUAACAAGGUAAC
rnacentral:rRNA from 1 species